GCUCGUCUCUUACCCAAUAUCUGCCCAAAAGAAAAUGAAAAAUGGGUUAAAAUAAGAGGGACGUAUACAAAAUAAGAAGUUUUCGACAAAGUCCUUGGGAGCACGUGGCAGAAGCGGAUAGGGAAACCAAAGGAGAAGACCAAAGUGGACUUUGGUCUCGAUUCAUUUUGUUCGGCUCCUUCUUCUCUCUCUCUCGACAACCCACACUGAUUUCGCGUUUAAUCGAAAACCUGACCGCCGAAUCGAAUCAACACCAGUUCAUUCUCGAGUCUCGGCCUCGUUUCUUAUCAUCUCCAUAUUCUCUCUCUCUCUCGACGGAGAUUUCGACCACAACCGUCUAUACUCGCUCACUCCACACGGAUCUCGCCUCGCUUGUGCUCCGAAUCGAAACAAAUCCAGCAAAGCAAAAAAUUCAUCUCCAUCAGAACAAAACACAGAGGAACAUGUCACUAUUGGAAGUGAGGAGAGAUACUUGCAGCUAUCAGAUGUGCGGAUUCCUUUGAUUUUUGUAAGUCACCUUAGUGAGAGUGCCAAGACUGGGAUGUUACUUCCUUGUGAUUUUAUUUUCAGACAUAAUGACGAUACAUUUCUUCUUCCUGGUGUUUAUGUUAAGAAGAGCAUCAGAUGAACCUAGAGGCCAUGCGGCGGCCAUAAUGAACGAGGUCUUACUCGAUGCAGAUUGCAAAGGAGUCAUAAACGGUUUUGUGUUGCAGGUGUUUUGCCUUGUUUUAAAUUUAUUUUCCUCUGGUGUUUGUGAAGAGUGUCAUUGUAAAGUGUGUGUCAUCAAAAUACUAAAAAAAUUACCUAAGGACUAAACUAAAGUCCCACCAAUAAUCUUAACAUUUUGUUGUGUUCUUCCACUUGUCUCUUAACAUCACACAUACUAAUAUAAUAAUCCUAAGGACUCAAAUUUUGUCCCACCAAUAAUGAUGGUCUAAAAGUCCUUCUAGUAUGUGAAGCGAUUUAGUCGGUACAAGAAUCCUGAUGCUGUUCGACAAGUUCGAGAGUAUCCUCUUUCUGAAUUUAGUUUACAAUCAUGUUUGCAUCUUUAUUGAGUAGACCUAGUAUUACAAGAAUGCAUUGAUUCUCUUUUUGAAAACCAUUUAUUUUCCUCUGGUGUUUGUGAAGAGUGUCAUUGUAAAGUGUGUGUCAUCAAAAUACUAAAAAAAUUACCUAAGGACUAAACUAAAGUCCCACCAAUAAUCUUAACAUUUUGUUGUGUUCUUCCACUUGUCUCUUAACAUCACACAUACUAAUAUAAUAAUCCUAAGGACUCAAAUUUUGUCCCACCAAUAAUGAUGGUCUAAAAGUCCUUCUAGUAUGUGAAGCGAUUUAGUCGGUACAAGAAUCCUGAUGCUGUUCGACAAGUUCGAGAUUCUGUGUUCUUGGCAAUCUCUGUCCUGAAACUGCUGAAGAAGCAGUGGCAAUGGUUCCUUCUCUCAAGACAAAAGGAAGAGCUCAUAGUGAUGAAGCAAUUGAGAAGAUGCUCUCAAGAUCUAAAGAUUAUAAACAUAUUUCAGGGUGCAACAUUCACCUUUCUAGCUGUUGAUGUCUGAGAGUUAGUUUUUUCAUGUCUAAAUUAUUAAAAAAGCUAACAUGGUCAGAAUCUCCGGAAUGAUAUCAUCAUGUUAAAUGAAUGUGAUUUACAAUGGCU